rnacentral:rRNA from 1 species
AAGGUUCCUUCUGCAGCGCAGCUCCGGAGACCUUGCACCCCGAACGGGAGGCAGCACGACGAUAAACAAAGCUCGCCGCGUGCAAGUUGGCCGCAUGGUCAGCAAUACGAUCGAAUUGACGGGGACCUCCUAAAGCCUGCAACACCAACCGUCCGGGGAAACUCGGGCGGGGCCCUCACGGGGUGGUAAGAGAGUGCAGGAUGAACAAUGGACGAUCCGCAGCGAAGACCCUACCGGCGAGAGCCCACGGGUACCGUUCACAGACUAAGUGAUUGUGGGCGGGGCGUCAGGCCCCGUCUAAGAUAUAGUCGGCCUCUGCUCGAAAGGGCAGAGCCUAGCGCGUCCGUAGGUGAACCUGCGGAAGGAUCAUUAAAGAAUCGCCCCGUUUUUUGAAAUGGGUUCUAUUCCCAAACCGUGUAUACAUACCUUUGUUGCUUUGGCAGGCCGCCUUUUAGGCGUCGGCUCCGGCUGACUGCGCCUGCCAGAGGACCCAAACUCGUUUGUUUAGUGAUGUCUGAGUACUAUAUAAUAGUUAAAACUUUCAACAACGGAUCUCUUGGUUCUGGCAUCGAUGAAGAACGCAGCGAAAUGCGAUAAGUAAUGUGAAUUGCAGAAUUCAGUGAAUCAUCGAAUCUUUGAACGCACAUUGCGCCCCUUGGUAUUCCGAGGGGCAUGCCUGUUCGAGCGUCAUUAUAACCACUCAAGCCUCGGCUUGGUCUUGGGGUUCGCGGUCUCGCGGCCCUUAAAAUCAGUGGCGGUGCCGUCUGGCUCUAAGCGUAGUAAUUCUCUCGCUAUAGGGUCCCGGCGGUUACCUGCCAGAACCCCCCAUUUUUUACGGUGACCUCGGAUCAGG